ensembl:snRNA U5 U5 spliceosomal RNA
AUGCUCUGGUUUCUCUUCAUAUCUAAUAAGUCUUUUACCUUUCACUAAAGAUUUCUGUGGAGAACAACUCUAAGUCUUAACUCAAGUAUUUGAGGUCUUUUAAGAGCAGGGAUA